ACUUAAAGCUCCUGCCCACGUUUCCGGGCUUCCCGGCGUCCGAGCGCCAUCCGGGCGGAAGUGUUUACGCGACGGCAGCCACGAGUGGGCUGGAGGUGAUGUGCUUGUGGUGGAUGUUUCUGUAAGGUUUUUUCGGCUUUUCCCCAUCUGCCCUCGCCCGCUACCGGCAGCACGGCGCGAUGCGGCGCGGCGCAGCCCCCGGGCACUGCCGGUGCUGGGCUCGGGCGAUGCCCGCUCGGGCGGCCGCGGAUAGCGCUGAGCCGGGCCGCCGCGGCCCUGCAGGGACCCCGCUUGCCGAUGUGGAGAAGCUGCCGGCGGUUGUGUGCCGAUCUACCGUCUGUUGGAGCCGCUUCGUUAGUUGCUUUAACUGUUUUUAAGAGGAUUUGUUUAAAGGAAGGAGCGAAAUUGUAGCAACGUUUGGGAUAAUGCUUUAAAAAAUAGAUGGAAAACAGAGGCAGAUGAGAUGCACUAGCCUCGAGGAGCUUGAUGCUGAUUUCUCUGUUAAAGAUCACGUUUCUGGGUCCUGUGGUAUCUCUGUUAAGAAAACUUACAGCUUGUACAGCCUGCUGCUUUAGUGCACAAUUGAUGAUUUCGCUUGAAAUACUCACCUGAAGAAAUUAACAGUAGGCAAGAAUCAUUGUAGAAUCACAGACUUAGGUGGGAAGGGACUUAAAGAUCAUCCAGUUCCAUCACCCUGCCAUGGGCAGAGAUGCCAUCUACCAGCUCAGGCUGCCCAUGUUCCCAUCCAACCUGACCUUGAACACCUGAGAUGGGGCAUCCACAGCUUCUCUGGGCAACCUGCUCCAGUGCCUCACCACCUUCCAUGUAAAGAAUUUCUUCCUAACAUCUAACCUAAGCUUUUGGUACAUUUUGCUUUGUUAUGCAACUUCUGAACAUUUUAAUCCUGAAGUUUUUAAUCCUACAUCUAAAUUAACAGAAUUGUAAGUUCUGUAGGUAAACUUUUUUUUUUUUUUUUUUUUUUGUCUUGAAGUUAUUUCUCUAGGUCUUGCUGUGGAAUAGCCUUUGUAGUACUUGAUAUAAAUGAAGUGAAGGAUGAAGAGAGUUCUUACCGUAUUUUUGAAUGUGUGUAUCUCCACUUUCAGAGCAAAUGAAAUACUAUGAUUUUUAUAUGACAGGCUAGUUGAGUAUCUUAAGAAUAACUGUGGUUUCAUAGCGAGAUUGUUUUUCUUCCCAUGUGAGUUGUUUUGUAUUGAAAGAGAAUACUUCAUAAAAUAUUUUGAAAGUGUAUUGUAGAGCUCUUAAAAAUAUUUGUAAUAAACUAUUUUAUUUAUAUUGCACUUUUAUUGUAUACUUUUUGCGCAAACAAAAUAAUGUUGAAACUAUGUAACAUUCAGUAUGCGGAGAAGUUAGACUAGAUAUUAGAAUAUAACACUUUGCAUGUUAGAACAGAGAGGUUUUCUUUCAGAAUUUUUUGCUAUAUAAAUAAAGUUAAAUAUUUUAAGAGAGAAAUUGGUUUGUUUUUUUUUUUAAGAAGUCAGUCAUUUGAAAAAUAUAUUUUUAAGCAUAAUAUUUGGAGAAAAAUAAACCGAGUGUUUUCAAAAAUACUGAUUUUAGUGAAAUGGGGGAAAGAUGAAUACAUAAAGCUAAAUUUGAGGGAUAAGUAGAAAAAAGAGUAUUAAUGUCUGAUUAAUUGGGAAUCUAAGGUAAUAUGUGGGCUCCAUGCGAUUUUUAGAAGGGCAAUAAUGGUCAUUUUGCUUAUCUGGCUCUAUUAUUUUUAUCAAAAGUUUAGUGCUGGAUAAAUUCACAGUUGUAGGGGAAUUAUAGCUUUAACCUGCUAGACAUAAGUAAAAAGGUUUCUGCAAGUCCAGGAAAAAAAAUCUAAGGUUGAAAUUGUCAAUAAAAUUCCCCAAGUUCUUUUGAGAAUUUGAGCUAGAGUAAUUUUUCCAAGUGUUAGGAAUAAUAGUUCAUGUCAUUUAUUAUUAGAUUAGUCAUUUUCCAUCAUGCUUCCAGGCAAGUUCAAGCCACUGAUCUCAAGUAUAUUUGGUGGCAUAAACAUUGCCAGUAAUUAAUUUAGUUGGAAUGAGUUGAUAGAUAGCAGUAAUAACCCCAUAGAAACAUAGUGGUUUUUUUGUCUUGUUUGUUUUAAGAUUAUGCACAAAACUAAAGCAUACUGUAAAAAGGAAAAUGGAAGGUCCCCCUAUGAUACUAACAGACUUCUUUCAGGAGAGCUUAUAAAAUGCAUGGAUUCAGCUGUGAGGAAGUUCUAUGUGAUUUAGAAGAAGGGACAAAUAAACAGAAGAAGGUGAAAGGUAUUUUUUUCUAAGGCAAAUAAAGUAUGCAAUACUAAAUUCAUUGGAACUGCAGUACUACCUGAUCACAGUCCAUUUUCUGUCUAGGAAAACAGCUAUGGUUAAUUUUAAAACAUUAAUGAUUUUACGUGGUUGUCAUGCUAUCCUUGCAAUUCUCUUAGAAAGUCACAACUUUAUGUACAGUGAAAAAAAAUUAUCUAGAAAAAAAAAGAACCUUCUUUUUCAUUUUUCUAGCUACCUCUCACUAAGCAAUUAAGUUUUUGCUUGUCUUUGAUCUCUCACUGUUAUUCCUAUAGCCAACAAGAAAAGUUCAUGAGGCAAAUGGGAAACAGAUACAAAAGAAACUUAAUUGAAGGUAAUAAAACUUUUAGGCUUGUGAUUGUGAUGUGAAUUGUGAUGCUGGGUUUAAUGCUUAGUUUUUUUGGUUGGUUUCUGACAACAGUACCUCACUUGAAUAACGUACAGUUGGAUGACUCUUCUAUCAAAUAGGCUAUAGAUUUGGUUUUUCUAAAGGCCCCCGGUAAUAAUGUUCCAAAUGUCUAGGUGUCCUAAAUAACUAAAGAGGUCAUGGUUCAUGUUCCUAGCACAAGGUUUUGUGGAUUUUUUGAAUGCAAGUCUGAACUUAAUAGCCCAGCUUUUAUGGUCUGAUGGCUGAGAGGCAGUUACAAGGAAAAUGGAAAUUACAGAAGUGACUUCACUCUUAUACACCUAUGUACAUAUACAUGUUUUCCAGGUUGAGCAUUCUAAUUGUGCCUUUACAUAUAAAUCUGUCAAGCAGCUUUACACAGCAUCUUUUUUAGCAUCCAUUUAAAAAGUGAAUCUUCAAAGUCCAUUAAUGUGUUAAUCACCCUUGUAUCAACAAAAUUACAAGUAGAAUCGAUCAUUUCCUUGUUCAAAAACUGUUGUUCUAAUGUGAACAUUUUCUGCCACAAACCAUCACAAGUUUUUAAAUUUGUUCUACAUUUGUACACUUCACUAUCUGAAUUCCUGUCUUCUUCCGGGAUCUGCUGAUGUAUGACUUUAUUCUUGUAUGUACCUGAUAAAAUUUGUAUAUGCAGCUAAAAUUCUUCCUCUUCACUGGAAUUCUUUCAGUAUAACUGAUCCUAAUUUUUAUGGAUCUGUGAAACCUCAUAGUGACCUCAGAGUCACAGAGUUGUUUGUCAUAUAUGUGCCUCCAUGGUAUGCAGAAUGGUGCCUUGUGUACAUGUCCCAAAAAGCUCCAUAAUUCUCUGAUUGUCUAGCUAUGGCGGACUAUGAAGAAAAUAAAUUUUGGGGCUGUACAUGAGAUGCAUGAGUAAUGAAGAAUAUGGUAUGCAGAAGGUGAUUGAAGCUUUUGCAUUGCAAGAGUUUGUAGGGGGAAAGUGUGUCUUGACAAGAAUGUUAUGUGAAAGCAGUCUGAGGGCCCAUGUAUGGGUCUGAGGAACUGGUGAGUUUGGGGCCACACACUUGAAGGAGUGGUAUAAGAAGCACUGCAUGAGCACACAAGAAGAUGACCAGCUAUGAUGUAAACAGUGGAGCGUGUCCUUCACUGCAAGUGGUUUGUGUAAUUAGGGUAGUUAAGAGCAUAUGGAAAUGGUGGCUACUGAGCUUUGCCUCUGGCUGCUUCACUUGAUGUGGCACUAGAAUGUGAGGAAUGCAGAAUGUUAUUUGGUCACCAAUGUGGGGGGAAAAA